rnacentral:rRNA from 1 species
AUUGAACGCUGGCGGAAUGCUUUACACAUGCAAGUCGAACGGCAGCACGGGGGCAACCCUGGUGGCGAGUGGCGAACGGGUGAGUAAUACAUCGGAACGUGCCCAGUCGUGGGGGAUAACGUAGCGAAAGUUACGCUAAUACCGCAUACGAUCUACGAAUGAAAGCGGGGGACCGUAAGGCCUCGCGCGAUUGGAGCGGCCGAUGUCAGAUUAGGUAGUUGGUGAGGUAAAGGCUCACCAAGCCGACGAUCUGUAGCUGGUCUGAGAGGACGACCAGCCACACUGGGACUGAGACACGGCCCAGACCCCUACGGGAGGCAGCAGUGGGGAAUUUUGGACAAUGGGCGCAAGCCUGAUCCAGCCAUUCCGCGUGCAGGACGAAGGCCUUCGGGUUGUAAACUGCUUUUGUACGGAACGAAAAGGCUCUGGUUAAUACCUGGGGCUCAUGACGGUACCGUAAGAAUAAGCACCGGCUAACUCUGUGCCAGCCGCCGCGGUAA